AAAAAGGGGCCAGAGAAAUACCAUGAUCAUGAAGGUAGUUUUUCCAGGGCAAGGUUUAUCUAUUGCAUUCCAGAUUGCUGACACCUUCGAUUUCCCCAAAUGUGGGAAAGAAACUUGAUUGCAUAAUUUAUGGUGGUUGGAGACUGCAUUUUUGUCUUCCUU
rnacentral:snRNA from 1 species